GAUUUAUAGUUUAAAAAGACCCCUCAGGCUGUUGUGUGGAGAAUGGGUGGAAGGGAGGUCACAGUGUAUGCUGGCUGCGGUGGGUGAGGGAAGAGGAGGACUUUAGGACGGAAGUGAGUCUGGAGCUCAGGAGAGAGGUUCAGGCUGGCAAAGAAAAUUUGAUGCUGUAUUUCCGGUUGGCUCCCUCCCUAUUCUCAGCCAAACUUCCUCUGAGUAGCCUUAUCCAUAGUCUCCACUUCCUUACCUCCUCAGCUCAACCCUCUGUGCUCUGGCCUCUGUCCCUGCCACUUCCCUGAAAUGUCUCGGGCAAAGGGCACUCAAGGCCCUUUAUGAUUAGCCAAGUCCAGGCCUUUGACCCUUGCNNNNNNNNNNNNNNNNNNNNNNNNNNNNNNNNNNNNNNNNNNNNNNNNNGGCUCCUUAGCCCCGUGUCUCUCUGCUCCCUCUGUGGUCCCCAAGUCCUUAGGCCAGUCCAGAAAUGAUAGCAUUACCCAGGCUUCUGACCUUGGUCUUCCUGGAUUCCCUCUGUGUUUCUUAGAAAAGGAGGAGGGCUCCCCUCUUUUAUCAAGACAGUGCAUACUUGCCUUUCUGCUUCAUUCCAGGUACCCCCUCCUCCAGGAAGCCUUCCCUGACCCCUCAGACUGGGUUCUGCUUCUCCUCCAUUUCUCCUGGAGCUUAAUGUGGGUAUGGGGGCACUUAGCACCCUGCGUAUUUACCAGUCUCCUCAGCCUAACAGUGCUGGAAGGGUAGGGUUAUGACAAAAGACCCCGUGAUCUAGGACAAAGAUUGCUUUCUCCAGUUCAGGUGAAAGCCACACUCCAUAAUGAAGGUACCUCCACCUGACUGUGAGUCUUUAGUAGAUGAUUCAUUUCUCACUGGGUCUGAAGGCUGUAAAGUCUGUAUAGUGUCUUCUGUGAACAGAAGGAAUUCCUUUAACUGUAAAAAAUUAGUAAUUGUCUCCAUCUUUUGAAAGGAAAACAUCUGAGAACUUAAGAAUAUGAAUUGCUUCAGAAGAGCUUCUGGAGACCUGCAUUGCCUGGACUGGAUUGCAACUGCAGAGGCAGCAACAGCUGAACCUUUAAAGAUGCAUACGGGGCUGCACAAAGAGAAGAGAGAAACUGGAGAGACCAAUGAAGUGAGGAAAAAGUAUGUUUCCUGGGUAAACAGUAUAAUUCUGAAUGUUAAGUUUCUUGCCAUAUAUCAGUUACCAUCAAUUUGUCAUGCCUAAGCCUUUAUAGCCAAUAUUUAUUGCUGCUAAACAUUUUUUCUCCUUCCUUGACUUUUAUUGGUGAGCUCUUUGAUCAAAUGAUUCUUUUAUUGAUUAAUCUAAAAACUGUAUAUUGAAUAUAUAGUUGAGGUGACUUCAUAGGUCACUUGAUAGGAGCCUGUUUUAUUAUAUCUUAGGUUGACCAUUGGGUAUUAUGAAAGUAGAGUUGUGUGCUGUGUCUCUUGUAACGCACAGGUUUACUUCAAGGUCAGCUUUUUGGUCUGAGUGCAAAACUUAAACUUCUGCUUUAUUAAAUGACUGAUUUGAAAAACUCUGGUUUGGAUACCAAGUUAUCCAAGCUAUGUUCUUGGCAGUGCCCUCUGCAAUAGCAAUCUUAAUACUAAAGACGAAGCAGACUGGCAAAUAAUUAAUGUAAAUAGCUGUCGCUUUCUCUUGAUGAAAUAGAUGUGCCCUAGUAAAGUUAUAUGUGUGUGUGUGUGUGUGAGAGAGAGAGAGAGAGUUGGGAACUCAUUUUAUUGUUACCGUGCCUCUCACAAGCUUAGAUAUUGAGGGGUUUUGUUGUUGAAGUUUUUUUAAGUAAAGCAAAUUUAUUACAUUAUUUAUGAUUAUAAAGAACCUUUCUUCAGUUUACUGAUUAGAGUGUU
ensembl:lncRNA